rnacentral:misc_RNA from 1 species
GGUGGGUCAUGAUCAUCACAUGACUAAUAGCUCUACACUUGCCAGCAAUCAAUAACGCAUAGAGGGUCAGAUGAUUUAAAAUUUUCAAAGCUAUUAAUCACUCCUUUAUGUCUUUUUCAUUCGUCUGCCUUUUGUCAUACGCGCAAACGCCAGCUGUUUAAUAUAUCAGUCACUCUGGUUCUUAUUAUGUCACUUUUUGUCUUUUUGUUUCAAUUUCCAUAUAGCUGCUACUGGGGCUGGUUUUAUU